rnacentral:rRNA from 1 species
GAUGAACGCUAGCGACAGGCUUAACACAUGCAAGUCGAGGGGCAGCGGGGGCGAAAGCUUGCUUUCGCCUGCCGGCGACCGGCGCACGGGUGAGUAACACGUAUGCAACCUGCCCGCAGCAGGGGGAUAAGCCGGAGAAAUCCGGUCUAAUACCGCGUAAAACCCUGAGGGGACAUCCCCAUGGGGUCAAAGGAGCAAUCCGGCUGCGGAUGGGCAUGCGUCGCAUUAGGCAGUUGGCGGGGUAACGGCCCACCAAACCGACGAUGCGUAGGGGUUCUGAGAGGAAGGUCCCCCCACACUGGUACUGAGACACGGACCAGACUCCUACGGGAGGCAGCAGUGAGGAAUAUUGGGUCAAUGGACGGGAGUCUGAACCAGCCAAGUAGCGUGCAGGAUGACAGCCCUAUGGGUUGUAAACUGCUUUUAUAGGGGGAUAAAGUGUGCCACGUGUGGCAUAUUGCAGGUACCCUAUGAAUAAGGACCGGCUAAUUCCGUGCCAGCAGCCG